rnacentral:rRNA from 1 species
AGCGAACGCUGGCGGCAGGCCUAACACAUGCAAGUCGAACGAACCUUUCGGGGUUAGUGGCGGACGGGUGAGUAACACGUGGGAACGUGCCUUUAGGUUCGGAAUAACUCAGGGAAACUUGUGCUAAUACCGAAUGUGCCCUUCGGGGGAAAGAUUAAUCGCCUUUAGAGCGGCCCGCGUCUGAUUAGCUAGUUGGUUGAGGUAAUGGCUCACCAAGGCGACGAUCAGUAGCUGGUCUGAGAGGAUGAUCAGCCACAUUGGGACUGAGACACGGCCCAAACUCCUACGAGAGGCAGCAGUGGGGAAUCUUGCGCAAUGGGCGAAAGCAUGACGCAGCCAUGCCGCGUGAAUGAUGAAGGUCUUAGGAUUGUAAAAUUCUUUCACCGAGGACGAUAAUGACGGUACCCGGAGAAGAAGCCCCGGCUAACUUCGUG